GCCACUCUCUACGGUGAGGCAAAAUUUUCAUGUAAGGCUAGAAAUUCAUGUUGAGGACAUUUGUUUAGCACUUAAAGACUCAUGAUUGAGUAAAAUCUCAUGUGUAUGUGCUCUUAAUGACAUGAUUCCAUUAGUAGUCCAGCAAGUAGGCUGCCCUUAAGUAACUUUUUCUAUUUGCGUAAACCUGGUUCACUGAGACAACCCAUCUCAUUUAAGGAUUCACCAGAAUGGGAGGAUACAGAUGUUGAUGUGAGGGUGGAGGAAGGAGGUGACUGUGACACUAUUAAUAUUGUGAUCACCCCAGCCUCCUCAUCUCUCUCGAAGCUCAAUGGUGGGUCCUUGCCAUCUCGACCACUACCAAAGGGUGUAGUUGUAGCAAGGAAAAUUGCAAGGGCUUCAGUUGUUUGGAAAGACUUGACUGUCACAAUAAAGGGUGAAAGGAAGUACUUUGACGAAGUUGUGAAGAGUUCGAAUGGUUUGCAUUGCCUGGAACUAUGACAGUAAUCAUGGGUCCUGCUAGAUCAGGGAAAAGUCCACUUUACUAAGGGCUAUUGCAGGUUUUUAAGCAUGGAAGAUCCGAAGAUUGCACCACUCAACCAAAAUGUACAGUGAAGUGUUUGUUGAUGGGGCAAAAUCACACAUGCCUUACGGGUCUUAUGUAAGUUCCAAGUUGAGCUAGAUGAGCCAAAGUUGUUGAAUCAUUUCAGUUAUAUAGAUAAAUAGUUGAGGCUCAAUGCAACGAGAUGUGCUCUUAUGAACAUCUCCUUUUUCUAAGUGUUGAUAGUUAUACCAUGUAAAUGUAGAUAUUUCAUUUACCACUUGAGUUGUAGAAGGGACAAUAAGAAACUCCUACAAGUUAGAAGUUGCCCUGUUGAAAACUUAAGGAUGAAUGAUCCAGAUGUGAAGACCCAUUGCAAGCUGCUUUUGAUUGUCUCAUUUUCAAUUAUUGCCAUGAUGGUAUUCAAAUAUAGAUUUGAAGGAAAUACAUUGAAGUGGAUUUCCGUUGUAAAUGAAUUUUUUUCCUUCUUGUGAUGAGCAAGUAGCAAAGUAAGUAGUAGUCAAGAUACUUAUAA